CUGCUCUCUCCUGCGCUCGCUCUCACUGCAAAACUAGGUCAAUUGGGAACCCACCUGCAUACUGAUUGCAGGCUGGCAUCAGGUAUAAAGCUAAGCUGGUGCUUCUCUGGACCAUUCCUCCCAUGCAUUCAGCGCAAAGCAGCAGUAAAUGCUGGCACUCUGCGACGGACUGAUCAGCAAGAGUAGAUCGUAUGACAGCCACAGCGCGGCAGGUUGUUUUAUUCCGGCGUUGCUUAGAGAGGUGCUUGUGUGAUCCUCCACCAGUGAGAGUAUAGCGCCUCCGGUCCUGGGGGUUUGAUCGCUGCCUUCACCUCCGUGGCAACUCACACAGCUUUAAUUGAAGAAUCAAGACGCCUGCCUAGCCGCUGUUGUGAGGACUCCUCCUCAGUGGAGCCUGCUGUCUUGUCUUGUCUGGUUUUGAAUUGUUUUAUCGUGUCUUAUCUUGUUUUAUUAAGUAGGCCUACCAUUUCCUGGUUCGCCUGGUUUUAUUUUAUCUCUGGACUGUUGCGUGUGCCCACGCUUCUGUGAUCGGGCUGAAGCAAUCCUUUGCCCGAGUGUCGUACCGGGAAUUUUAAAUUGCCUCCGUUGCUGGUCUUAGCCUGUGGGGAGCCAGACCAGCUUGCGAUUGAGGCUUGGACAACUACUACCAGUACGAGUGGACCCGUGGGGCAUAAGCCUUCCAGUGUGGUGUGUGUGCGGUUUCUUUUAUUAAAGUGUGUUUUUAGUUUUUAUGAUCUGUAGCGAGCCAGACGCUCAGUGUCCCUUUUAUUCUUUUAACAUAUUUCUGUUUUAUUUCAGUGGACGAAGGACGUGCCAGUGGCCCUGGGACCUCAGGUGGUGAGUCGUUUUCACACUUUCUUUUGUACAGCACCUGGUGGGCUGCAGUGAUUUUUGUUUUGUGUGAUUUUCUUUUGGGUCCACGGCUGCUGGUAAGUCCAAGUUCCAUGAUUGUUUUAUUUUCACUUUAGGACACUGUCAACAAUGACGCUACAUCUUGGUUUCUAAAUAUUUUAUUUUUACUAUAAAUAAAACUGUUUUAAUAUUGGAGCCAACCUGCCUCAGUGUGCAUCCUUGAAUCUGUGUGGCCUCUUUUUAUUCCUUUUUUUAAUCUAUUUUUCUUAAACAUAUAUUUCCUGGGGGUGAAAUUCCCUUAGGUGGCGUUGUCAUUUUAUUAUUUCUUUUAGAACCCCGCCGACCACUUGGUCACAUUAUCAAAGGAGUGUUAUGAGACAGUAAUACAUGCCUUUGUUACAUCUAGGCUGGAAUAUUGUAACACACUUUAUUGUGGGGUUAGUGAUGCAUCCGUUGUUGUGGAAUAAUCUGUACUUGCACGUUAGGCAGGUUCUUUCUGAGUUUAAAACUUAUCUGAAAACAUAUUGAUUUGCUGAAGCCUUUGGCACUAUUUUAAGGGGUUGACUCAACUUUCUUUAAAAACAUUUUUAAUUUUUAUUUCACUUAUUUUUUUCAAAUCUACCUGUGUGUGUAUAUAUACAGUACUUUGUAAAGUGCUGUAUGAACUUUAACAUAAAACCAUAUAAAUAAAGCUGGUACGGUCGGAUGGAUGGAAUAAUAGAGGAGUAUGGAUAUCCAAUCUUGAGGAACGGAGAGGCAAGAGCAGUGAAAAAUAAGGAGAAGGCAAAUGUGUUGGCAAAAACGUUUGUUAAAAUCCACAGUUCAGGCAAUAUUAGAGAAGCAGGGCGAAGAGGAAGAGAAAUGCCAUCAUAGAGAAUAGGGAUUUACUGAAACAGAAGAUACGGAUGAUUUAUCAAAUCAGCUUAAAAAUGAGGUUGUGUCCAUACAUGAACCAGGAAAGGAUGAUACAAAUCCAGGAAAUUACAGAUUCAUGGCUUUAACAUCUGGCAUCUUUAAAAUAACGGAGCGAAUAAUAAAUGACAAAUUAAUGUAUUAUACAGAAAAUAAAGGAUGCAUAUCUAAACAUCAAAGUGGUUUCAGAAGAGGGAGGAAUACAAUGGAUAAAGAAAGGAGGGGACGAUGCUUGUAAUAACAUUCAAAGGAGAGCAGGAGAAAUGAGAAGCACAAUUUGGAGGAGGUGGUCAUGUCUAGAAUAAGGUUUGGACAUACUGGUUUGAACACAAAACUAUUCAUGACAGGGAAACAUGAUGCAGGGAAACGAGAUUACUGCAGAGAAGGGUGAACUAUAGAACAUGUUAGAUUACACUGUCAGAAAUAUCAGGUGGAGAGAAGGUAACUGAUCCAAAACCUCAGUAACAUAAAAAUGAAACUGGAUCUUAUUGAUUUACUGCAAAAGGACUCAAGACGUGAGUCUUAUCAGGCCCUAUUCCAGUUUUUAACACAGAGUAAACAUUUGGGGAGGGCUUGAGGAUCGACACUCCAUACUAGUUGGUGGCGGUAACGCACCAUUUUACUUUUUGCAAACCACCAAUAAAACUUAAAAAGAAGAAGAAGAAGAAUGUGUUAGUACCUUGGACUUUUCUGUGUCUUAUCGCAGUUUUAAAAAUUGGCACUUUUUGAAGAACCCACAUCAAAGUAUUGUGUUAAAUCCAAUUUAUGAAGCAGUAGGUGCAUGGCAUGGUCGUUGCUUUUUGUCAGUUCUGACGAGGACAGCUGAGUGAUGUUGUUGGUGAGCUUGGAUUAAAUCAUCUCUAAACAAAGAACUUGUCCUCGUGGUGACUGACUUGGGGAGUGGAGGUCAGUGAGCCCAUUGUCUCUGCUGGUCCGACUCCAACUACAAAGCCGGCCCGCUCGCCCCCUCCUGAGUCUGAGAGGAGAUCCAGAAGGGAAAUCUGAGUCAGUGUGGAUUUGGUUGUACAGCUCUCACACAUACAACCUGAACUACACAUUGUACGUGUGAUGUUCUUCAAAUUUGAACAAAGUAAAAACUAAAAACCUUUGAAGUCACACAAGCCAAUAUUUUAUUCACAAGUUGAACUUUUACUACUUUUAUCCGCAAAAUGAACUCACUUCAAAUAUUUACCACAGCAUAGCGUCCCCAGGCACCUGAGACGUUUGGCAGAUGGUGAAACUGUUUAUCUUUGUGAGGUAAGAGGGGGCACUUGGGGAUGAGCUGAAGGUAUAGACCUGAUGUCACUGUUUGGGUUCUUUGUCA